GACGAACGCUGGCGGCGUGCCUAACACAUGCAAGUGGAGCGACGAACCGUCUUCGGACGGGGCAGAGCCGCGAACGGGUGAGUAACACGUGGGUAACGUGCCCCGAUGAUUGGGACAACCCGAGGAAACUCGGGCUAAUACCAAAUGUGCCCUCCGGCCGUAAGGCUGUCGGGGAAAGGAAGCUUCGGCCUCCGCAUCGGGAUCGGCCCGCGGCGCAUUAGCUUGUUGGUGAGGUAACGGCUCACCAAGGCGACGAUGCGUAGCUGGUCUGAGAGGACGAUCAGCCACACUGGGACUGAGACACGGCCCAGACUCCUACGGGAGGCAGCAGUGGGGAAUCUUGCGCAAUGCGCGAAAGCGUGACGCAGCAACGCCGCGUGGGUGAAGAAGGCCUUCGGGUUGUAAAGCCCUUUCAGUUGGGACGAAGCUUCAUCGGUGAAUAGCCGGUCGGAGUGACGGUACCUUCAGAAGAAGCCCCGGCUAACUACGUGCCAGCCGCCGCCGUAACAC
rnacentral:rRNA from 1 species